GGUAAACAGCACUACAGGAGCUUUUGUGAGUUGGUAAUCAAUCACUACUGACACAUGGAAGCACUGAAAUUUAGCUGGAAACUGGAAGCUUGGUAUUAAAAGGAGUUUUCUCUGUUUAAGGUAUCUCCCAGACAAGUUUCUAGGAGGUUAGUCCUAAGCCAGUUUGAGCUUCCUUACUUUCUCCUCUGUGCCAGCAAAGAGGCAUAAUCUAAGAGGUCUUCCAGGCAUGCAGAGUGUGAUCUUCUUUGCUCAACAUCCUGACCAAACCACUUAAUAUAUUAAUCCUUAAGCUACGUGUAUGGAGCUUGCUUCCAAAUAUUUGCAAUGAACACACUACAUAAACUGGUUUUCAUGUGCUGAGGUAUUUUUGACUAGUCUCUGAGAUGACAGGUCUCUCUGGAAAUAUCAUAACUGUUGCUAAUU
rnacentral:lncRNA from 1 species